rnacentral:rRNA from 1 species
AUUGAACGCUGGCGGCAGGCCUAACACAUGCAAGUCGAGCGGUAGCACAGAGAGCUUGCUCUCGGGUGACGAGCGGCGGACGGGUGAGUAAUGUCUGGGAAACUGCCUGAUGGAGGGGGAUAACUACUGGAAACGGUAGCUAAUACCGCAUAACGUCGCAAGACCAAAGUGGGGGACCUUCGGGCCUCAUGCCAUCAGAUGUGCCCAGAUGGGAUUAGCUAGUAGGUGGGGUAAUGGCUCACCUAGGCGACGAUCCCUAGCUGGUCUGAGAGGAUGACCAGCCACACUGGAACUGAGACACGGUCCAGACUCCUACGGGAGGCAGCAGUGGGGAAUAUUGCACAAUGGGCGCAAGCCUGAUGCAGCCAUGCCGCGUGUGUGAAGAAGGCCUUCGGGUUGUAAAGCACUUUCAGCGGGGAGGAAGGCGGUGAGGUUAAUAACCUCAUCGAUUGACGUUACCCGCAGAAGAAGCACCGGCUAACUCCGUGCCAGCAGCCGCGGUAAUACGGAGGGUGCAAGCGUUAAUCGGAAUUACUGGGCGUAAAGCGCACGCAGGCGGUCUGUCAAGUCGGAUGUGAAAUCCCCGGGCUCAACCUGGGAACUGCAUUCGAAACUGGCAGGCUAGAGUCUUGUAGAGGGGGGUAGAAUUCCAGGUGUAGCGGUGAAAUGCGUAGAGAUCUGGAGGAAUACCGGUGGCGAAGGCGGCCCCCUGGACAAAGACUGACGCUCAGGUGCGAAAGCGUGGGGAGCAAACAGGAUUAGAUACCCUGGUAGUCCACGCCGUAAACGAUGUCGAUUUGGAGGUUGUGCCCUUGAGGCGUGGCUUCCGGAGCUAACGCGUUAAAUCGACCGCCUGGGGAGUACGGCCGCAAGGUUAAAACUCAAAUGAAUUGACGGGGGCCCGCACAAGCGGUGGAGCAUGUGGUUUAAUUCGAUGCAACGCGAAGAACCUUACCUGGUCUUGACAUCCACAGAACUUUCCAGAGAUGGAUUGGUGCCUUCGGGAACUGUGAGACAGGUGCUGCAUGGCUGUCGUCAGCUCGUGUUGUGAAAUGUUGGGUUAAGUCCCGCAACGAGCGCAACCCUUAUCCUUUGUUGCCAGCGGUCCGGCCGGGAACUCAAAGGAGACUGCCAGUGAUAAACUGGAGGAAGGUGGGGAUGACGUCAAGUCAUCAUGGCCCUUACGACCAGGGCUACACACGUGCUACAAUGGCAUAUACAAAGAGAAGCGACCUCGCGAGAGCAAGCGGACCUCAUAAAGUAUGUCGUAGUCCGGAUUGGAGUCUGCAACUCGACUCCAUGAAGUCGGAAUCGCUAGUAAUCGUAGAUCAGAAUGCUACGGUGAAUACGUUCCCGGGCC